CAUGGCUGUCGUCAGCUCGUGUCGUGAGAUGUUGGGUUAAGUCCCGCAACGAGCGCAACCCUUGUCCCGUGUUGCCAGCAGGCCCUUGUGGUGCUGGGGACUCACGGGAGACCGCCGGGGUCAACUCGGAGGAAGGUGGGGACGACGUCAAGUCAUCAUGCCCCUUAUGUCUUGGGCUGCACACGUGCUACAAUGGCCGGUACAAUGAGCUGCGAUACCGCGAGGUGGAGCGAAUCUCAAAAAGCCGGUCUCAGUUCGGAUUGGGGUCUGCAACUCGACCCCAUGAAGUUGGAGUCGCUAGUAAUCGCAGAUCAGCAUUGCUGCGGUGAAUACGUUCCCUGGCCUUGUACCCUCCGCUCCGUCACGUC
rnacentral:rRNA from 1 species